ACGGGGAGGACGGCGGACGUGCGAAAGGGUCCGGUCGAUCACUCCGGGUGGUCCCGAGCCGUGAGUCGACAGGAUCCGGGUGGUCGUCUGAAUUCGAUUGAGCUCCAACGGCAGCGCGCGAAGAAAUUGGACUUUGAUAAGUUUAUUCGAUGGGAUUAUUUGAAGCAUUGUUCUCCCAUGGGUCCCCCAGAGAUGAUGCUGAUGUUCCCCUUGUAUUCAUGGAAAGGGACAGUGAAAGAGCAGAACAGAACCAAGGAAUUCCCUUGUCUCCUUAUCACCUUGCCAGAAAUCUCCAUGGUCCAUCUAUUAUUGUCAGCAGCUGUGAAGACAGAAGUGUGGUGUUAACACUGAGCUGAAGCCUCAGACACUUUAGGAGUCAUACUAUAAGACCAUAAGACACAGGAGCAAAAUUAGAUCAUUUGUCCCAUCGACUCUGCUCCACCAUUCCACUAUGGGUGAUUUAUGUGCCCACCCUGGGUCACUGCCCUGUUGAAAGAGGGCUGAAUUAUGAGAGAAUUGUGUUGUGUCACAUUCAAUAGAUAGUGAAUGAAUCGAAUUGAGUUGAAUUGACUUUAUUUCUUACAUCCUUCGUAUACAGGAGGAGUAAAAAUCUUUAUGUUACACCUCUGUCUGAAUGUGCAAUGUGCAAAUUAUAGUAAUUUGUAAUAAAUAGUAUGUAGAGUAAGA